rnacentral:rRNA from 1 species
UACGGAGGGGGCUAGCGUUGUUCGGAAUUACUGGGCGUAAAGCGCACGUAGGCGGCUUUGUAAGUUAGAGGUGAAAGCCCGGAGCUCAACUCCGGAACUGCCUUUAAGACUGCAUCGCUUGAAUCCAGGAGAGGUGAGUGGAAUUCCGAGUGUAGAGGUGAAAUUCGUAGAUAUUCGGAAGAACACCGGUGGCGAAGGCGGCGACCUGGUCCGAUACUGACGCUGAGGCGCGAAAGCGUGGGGAGCAAACAGG